UACGAAGGGGGCUAGCGUUGCUCGGAAUUACUGGGCGUAAAGCGCACGUAGGCGGGUUCUUAAGUCGGUGGUGAAAUCCUGGAGCUCAACUCCAGAACUGCCUUCGAUACUGGGAAUCUAGAGUCCGGAAGAGGUGAGUGGAACUGCGAGUGUAGAGGUGAAAUUCGUAGAUAUUCGCAAGAACACCAGUGGCGAAGGCGGCUCACUGGUCCGGUACUGACGCUGAGGUGCGAAAGCGUGGGGAGCAAACAGG
rnacentral:rRNA from 1 species